rnacentral:rRNA from 1 species
CCGCCGCGGUAAUCCAGCCUCUCCGAGUUGUGGGGACGUUUAUUGAGCCUGAAGCAUCCGUAGCCGGCUGGGCUAGUCCCCUGUUAAAUCCAGCGAUAAAUCGUUGGCCUGCGGGGGAUACUGCUCGGCUAGGGGGCGGGAGAGGUCGUCGGUAUUCUUGGGGUAGGGGUGAAAUCCUAUAAUCCCAGGAGGACCACCAGUGGCGAAGGCUGUCGGCUAGAACGCGCUCGACGGUGAGGGAUGAAAGCUGGGGGAGCGAACCGGAUUAGAUACCCGGGUAGUCCCAGCUGUAAACGAUGCAGGCUAGGUGUUAGGGCGGCUACGUGCCGCUCUAGUGCCGCAGGGAAGCUGUUAAGCCUGCCGCUUGGGGAGUACGGUCGCAAGGCUGAAACUUAAAGGAAUUGGCGGGGGAGCACCACAAGGGGUGAAGCUUGCGGUUUAAUUGGAGUCAACGCCGGAAAUCUUACCGGGGGCGACAGCAGGAUGAAAGCCAGAUUAAAGGUCUUGCCAGACGAGCUGAGAGGUGGUGCAUGGCCA